rnacentral:rRNA from 1 species
UCCCGUAAGGGACCAGUGGCAGACGGGUGAGUAACGCGUAGGAAUCUACCUCUGGGUAGGGCAUAGCUGGCCGAAAGGUCAGGUAAUACCUUAUAGUCUCGCAAGAGUAAAGGACUUAACGGUCCGCCGAGAGAGGAGCCUGCGUCCUAUCAGCUAGUUGGUGAGGUAAAGGCUCACCAAGGCGAUGACGGGUAGCUGGACUGAGAGGUCGAUCAGCCACAACUGCACUGAGACACGGGCAGUACACCUACGGGUGGCAGCAACCAGGAAUAUUGCGCAAUGGACGAAAGUCUGACGCAGCGACGCCGCGUGGAGGAAGACGGCCUUAGGGUUGUAAACUCCUUUUGCCAAGCCGUUCACAGCUUGGCGAAUAAGCCCCUACUAACUACGUGCCAGAAGUCUCGGUAAUACGUAGGGGGCAAGCGUUAUCCGGAUUUACUGGGCGUAAAGUGUGCGUAGGCUCCCCAUUAAGUCGUAUUUUAAAUACUAAGGCUUACCCUUAGAACUGAGUACGAUACUGUUGGGGUUGAGGAUUGACAGGGAAGCUGGAACAGUGCGUGUAGCAGUGAAAUGCGUUGAUAUGCACUGGAACACCAAGGGCGAAGGCAGGCUUCUGGGUUUUUCCUGACGCUGAGGCACGAAAGCUAGGGUAGCGAAACAGAUUAGAUACCUGUGUAGUCCUAGCCGUAAACGAUGUCCGCUAACUCUCUGUUUCACAAGAUCGCAGAACUAAGCAGAACAACACGCGGAACCACGCAAAUUAGCGUAGUUCAGCAUUUCAGUUCGGCGUUUUUCGGCGCUCUCGUGAAGCA